UGGGGAAUAUUGGACAAUGGGGGAAACCCUGAUCCAGCAAUGCCGCGUGUGUGAAGAAGGUCUUAGGAUUGUAAAGCACUUUCGACGGGGACGAUGAUGACGGUACCCGUAGAAGAAGCCCCGGCUAACUUCGUGCCAGCAGCCGCGGUAAUACGAAGGGGGCUAGCGUUGCUCGGAAUGACUGGGCGUAAAGGGCGCGUAGGCGGAUGAUUUAGUUAGAUGUGAAAUUCCUGGGCUUAACCUGGGGACUGCAUUUAAUACAGGUCGUCUAGAGUGGGAUAGAGGGUUGUGGAAUUCCCAGUGUAGAGGUGAAAUUCGUAGAUAUUGGGAAGAACACCGGUGGCGAAGGCGGCAACCUGGAUCUUGACUGACGCUGAGGCGCGAAAGCGUGGGGAGCAAACAGGAUUAGAUACCCCUGUAGUCC
rnacentral:rRNA from 1 species